rnacentral:rRNA from 1 species
UACGGAGGGUGCAAGCGUUAUCCGGAUUCACUGGGUUUAAAGGGUGCGUAGGCGGGUAGAUAAGUCAGGGGUGAAAUCUCCGAGCUUAACUCGGAAACUGCCAUUGAUACUAUUUAUCUUGAAUAUUGUGGAGGUAAGCGGAAUAUGUCAUGUAGCGGUGAAAUGCUUAGAUAUGACAUAGAACACCAAUUGCGAAGGCAGCUCACUACACGAGCAUUGACUCUGAGGCACGAAAGCGUGGGGAUCAAACAGG